rnacentral:lncRNA from 1 species
UUGUAUUUAUCCUGUUGCUCGCAUUUGCAUUUGGGGUUUUGCAUUUGCAGCAGGGUCUGCAUUUGCCCGUUUGCAUUUGGGGUUUUUGUGUUGGCAUUUAGGGUUUUGCAUUCACCCCGUUGCUCACAUUUGCGUUCAGGGUUUUGCAUUUGCAGCAGGGUCUGCAUUUGCCCCCGUUUGCAUUUGGGGGUUUUGCUUUUGCCCCAUUGCUCACAUUUGGGUUUUGGGGUUUUGCAUUUGGGGUUUUGCAAAAGCUCUGCAUUUGCAUUUGGAGGUUCUGCAAUUUGCAUUUGCAGCGGGUUUUGCAUUUUGGGGUUUUUGCAUUUGCGUUUUGGGGUUUUGCAUUUGCAGCAGGUUUUGCAUCGCCCCGUUGCUCACGUUUGCAUUUGGGGUUUUGCAUUUGCAGCAGGGUUUGCGUUUGCAUUCGAGGGUUCCCACAUUUGCAUUUGGGGUUUUUGCAUUUGCGUUUUGGGGUUUUGCAUUUGCAGCAGGGUUUGCAUUUUCACCCCAUUUGCAUUUGGGGUUUUUGCAUUUGCAUUUAGGGUUUUGCAUUAGCCCCAUUGCUCACAUUUGCAUUUGGGGUUUUGCAUUUGCAGCAGGGUCUGCAUUCACCCCAUUUGCAUUUUGGGGUUUUGCAUUUAGGGUUUUGCAUUUUGGGGUUUUGUGUCUGGGGUUUUGUGUUUGGGGUUUUGUGUUUGGGGUUUUGCAUUUGCCCCAUUACUCACAUUUGCAUUUGUGGGUUUUUGCAUUUGUGGGGUUUUUGCAUUUGG